rnacentral:rRNA from 1 species
UACGUAGGGGGCAAGCGUUGCCCGGAUUUAUUGGGCGUAAAGAGCGUGUAGGCGGCCAAGCAGGUCAGCUGUGAAAACUCGAGGCUCAACCUCGAGACGUCGGUUGAAACCGCUUGGCUAGAGUCCGGAAGAGGAGAGUGGAAUUCCCGGUGUAGCGGUGAAAUGCGCAGAUAUCGGGAAGAACACCCGUGGCGAAGGCGGCUCUCUGGGACGGUACUGACGCUGAGACGCGAAAGCGUGGGGAGCGAACAGG